rnacentral:rRNA from 1 species
AUCCAAGUGCUUUAGGGGUUUUCGAUGGAUGCCUUGGCGCUGAGAGGCGAUGAAGGACGUGCUACGCUGCGAUAAGCCGUGGGGAGCUGCGAAGAAGCUUUGAUCCGCGGAUUUCCGAAUGGGGAAACCCACCUUCGAUAGCCGGAACUCCAAGACCUUGUGUGUUGGGGUUCGACCAGAAAUGCGAGAAAUCAAACCGCGAGGUUUUGGAUUUCCGGUUAUCAAGAGAAGGUAUGAGACCUCCGAAUAAAAUAGGAGGUUUUAAGCAAACCCAGGGAACUGAAACAUCUAAGUACC